rnacentral:lncRNA from 1 species
AAACAAAUGCCUCUCCACUGAGGGAAAAAGAUUGAAAGACACACUACAUUUUAUAUACCAACAGUGUACAAAUUUCUGUACUGUAGCUAAUUUUCAACAUCCAUAGCCCACAUCUUUCCAUUAGCAACAUAUUCUCAAUCUUUUCAAUUACAAGAAUCUUAGAAUAGGUGGGUGAAGCACAUGAUCAUCUGGUUGAUAAAAUGGUAGCAGUGAGCCCAUCAACCAUCAUCGGCAAACAUAGAGCAACCAUAGAGCAGCAUCCAAGACCAAUACUAAGACAGAAAAUGUUUGGUAGUCACAUAAACCAGCAGAAAAACAGUAGUCAGACAGUGUUCAUAGUUUAUAUAUAUAUAUAUAUAUAUAUAUAUAUAUAUAUAUAUAUAUAUAUAUAUAUAUAUAUAUACACGUUAAGUAUGUUUACACCUAUUUCAUGUGUAAUAAGAAAUAUUAUAUAUGAAUCCGUUAGAGGACUAUCAAAGAGAGAAUCAAAGUAGUUGUUGAUUGAGAAGAAAGAGUUAUGGUACAUGUUUAGGGCAAAGCAUAC